rnacentral:rRNA from 1 species
GUGGAUUAGAUACCCUGGUAGUCCUGGCUGUAAACGGUGCACGUUUGCUGUAAAAGGAAUCGACCCCUUUUGUGGCGAAGCUAACGCGAUAAACGUGCCGCCUGGGAAGUACGGUCGCAAGAUUAAAACUCAAAGAAAUUGACGGGGGCCUGCACAAGCGGUGGAGUAUGUGGCUUAAUUCGAUGCAACGCGAAGAACCUUACCUGGCCUUGACAUGCAAGUGGUAGGACCAUGAAAGUGGGACGACCCCGCAAGGGGAGAUUGCACAGGUGCUGCAUGGCCGUCGUCAACU